rnacentral:rRNA from 1 species
AACGAACGCUGGCGGCAUGCCUAACACAUGCAAGUCGAACGAGACCUUCGGGUCUAGUGGCGCACGGGUGCGUAACGCGUGGGAACCUGCCCUUAGGCUCGGAAUAACUCCCCGAAAGGGGUGCUAAUACCGGAUAAUGUCCUCGGACCAAAGAUUUAUCGUCCUUGGAUGGGCCCGCGUUGGAUUAGCUAGUUGGUAGGGUAAAAGCCUACCAAGGCGACGAUCCAUAGCUGGUCUGAGAGGAUGAUCAGCCACACUGGGACUGAGACACGGCCCAGAAUCCUACAGGAGGCAGCAGUGGGGAAUAUUGGCCCAUGGGCGAAAGCCUGAUCCAGCAAUGCCGCGUGAGUGAUGAAGGCCUUAGGGUUGUAAAGCUCUUUUACCCGGGAUGAUAAUGACAGUACCGGGAGAAUAAGCUCCGGCUAACUCCGUG